UACGAAGGGGGCUAGCGUUGCUCGGAAUCACUGGGCGUAAAGCGCACGUAGGCGGAUUGCUAAGUCAGGGGUGAAAUCCUGGAGCUCAACUCCAGAACUGCCUUUGAUACUGGGAGCUCGAGUCCGGGAGAGGUGAGUGGAACUCCGAGUGUAGAGGUGAAAUUCGUAGAUAUUCGGAAGAACACCAGUGGCGAAGGCGGGCUCACUGGCCCCGGGUACUG
rnacentral:rRNA from 1 species